UUCUGAAUACUUGCUUGCUAGUUGUCCAGCUUUUCCAUCAUCUAAACACUGUUUAUCUGAAUGUUUCAGCUGUUUUCUAAGACCUUCAAUAAGACAGGUUGCAGCACUCUGCAAUUACAAGCUGCUAUUUAGAUGUGCUCUCCACCAUACAUUCACGAUUGUUUCUCACCAUUUUGUGUUUGAAGCUACAAUGGCAAUCAGACCCCCUCCUUCUAAACUAGAUGAAGCUGCACAGGAGAGGAGAGUAGCAGUCACUCAUUUCACUAAGUAGCCAUACUAGUGUUCACCUCAUGAGAUAUGAUUGGGUUCCUCACUGGCUCAGUUGCUUUCCCUCAAAUUAGCCCUGAGAAGUGAAUGACAGGAAGCCAGCAACGCAAACCAGAAUGGCAGGCUGAGGAAGAAAGCCAUUUAAGCCUCAGGCUAAGUCAAAUACAGGUGAAGAUACAGCAGGAAGGGCCCCAUCUGCAAACCAAAGGAAGCCCGCAACCAGAACCCUACCAGGCUAGCACCCUGAUCUUUCAGGUCCCAGGACUACAAGAAAUACAUUUCUGCUGUUCAAGCCACACAG